rnacentral:ncRNA from 1 species
AAGGCCUGAUGUGUGUGAGAUUACCCGCUGAAUUUAAGCAUAUAAGUAAGCGGAGGAAAAGAAACUAACUAGGAUUCCCUUAGUAAUGGCGAAUGAACAGGGAUCAGCUCAGUGCCAAAUCGGAAUCACUUGUGGUUCUGAAAUGUGGCUUGAAGCAGUACCAGUGGCAUCGCGGACGAAAGUCUCUGGAAAGAGCGUCAUAGAGGUGAGAUCCCGUGAGUCGUCGCCGUUUGUCACGUACGGUCUGCGUUCUACGAGUCGCGUCCUGGGAUGGAGCGUAAACGGUGGUAA